GGGCGGUUAGCUCAGCUGGCUAGAGCGCCACGUUGACAUCGUGGAGGUCACAAGUUCAAGUCUUGUACCGCCCACCA
rnacentral:tRNA from 1 species